GGGCUUACUUCAAAGUACAUAAACUAAAAUUGGAACAAUGCAGAGAAUAUUAGCAUGUUCCCUGAGCAAGGAUGACACACUAUAAAAAUAGUCAAACUAAGAAGGG